GGGAGACUGAUUUGAGUAAUAAUAAAACUACUGUCUCCCACACAGCCGGCUCUGCAUGAAUUGCUCUUUAUUGCAAUUCCCCUGUCUUGAGAAAUCGCUUCUGUCUAGGCAGCGGGCAAGGUGAGCCCAUUGGGCAGUUACAAGGAGACACGGAGACACAGAGACACAAAGACAGACACACAAAAAAGAGACUGUCAUGUGAAAAGACAGACACACAGAGAGAACAUCGUAAGAAGACAGAGGAGGAGAUUGGAGAGAAGCAACUGUAAGCCAAGGAACACCAAAGACUGCAGGAAACCCCAAAAACUAGGAACAGGGCAUGGAACAGAUUCUACCCAUAUUCUCAGGAAGAGUCCCUGCCAACACCUGGAAUUCAAGCUUCUGGAUUCCAGAUCUGUGAGUGCUUCUCAAAAUUUAACAUGCAUAUGAAUCAUCUAGGGAUUUUGUUAAAAUACAAGUCCUGCCUGGAUUGUUCAGGGGUGAGGUGCACGGAAUCUGCAUUUCUAAUGAACUCUGAGGUUGAGCUGAUGUAGCUGCAAGGAUUCGAUCUGCAGAUCUACAGUGUCCAAUAUGGUAGCCACUAGCCACGUGUGGUUAAUUAAAUUUAAUAAAUUUAAGAAAAAACCUGGGCUUAGAUAAUGAUUACGCCAAACCACUGGAUUCAAGAAAAAGCUCGUCAUGCCCAACUAUUGCAUGACAGUAUGUGAGAGCCAACCGACUAAAGAUAUUUUAGGAGAAUAAAAUAUUUGGAGAGCAUUGGAGUAAGGACUGUCAUUCCUGGAAUGGAAGCAUUUAAUUAAAAUGACCAUAAGCCUGAAGUGACUGGGGCAUGGGAAUAUCCUUGAUGAGAAGAUAGUGAAGCAUGUAACACCCUGGGAUAGAUGGUGCUGAUGGAACAUUUUGAGGAGACCCAAGUUGUUGGUGGAGGUGAUGGGAGACUCAGGACAACAGAAAGUAUGGGAUUUUCAAUGCUGCAGAAAUGGGGCUGAUAUGGUUUGGCUCUGUCCCCACCCAAAUAUCACCUUGAACUGUAGCUCCCAUAAUUCCCAUGUGUGGUGGGAGGGACCCAGUGGGAGGUAAUUGAAUCAUGGGGGCUGGUUUCUCCCAUGCUAUUCUCAUGAUAGUGAGUAAGUCUCACGAGAUCUGAUGGUUUUAUAAAGGGGAGUUUCCCUACACAAAUUCUGUCUUGCCUGCUGCCAUGUAAGACGUGACUUUGCUCCUUAUUCACCUUCUGCUGCGAUUGUGAUGCCACCCCCAGCCAUGAGUGAGCCAAACUCACUGUUACUGUGAGUCAAUUAAACCUCUUUCCUUUAUAAAUUA
rnacentral:lncRNA from 1 species